rnacentral:lncRNA from 1 species
CUUCUCCCUGGCCCCUCCUCCCUAUGGCGCUGGCCCACCCUACUGAUCCCCCACGCUGCGAUCCCUUCUACCGUCCGCCAAGUCGACAGCUUUCCCAAAGUCUCCGAACUCCCUCGGCCAUCUCCGACGAGACCCGUCCUGGAGCCUAGCUGCGUCCCUGGCUUCAGUGAUCAUACCUCCAUUGUCUACAAUUUCUUGGUAAGCCUUCUCGUCCUCCUCCUCUUAUUUUUCUCUUUCCUUCCGGGAACCCCUAAAAAUGGCUUCUUUCGCUCAUCCGUGUGAUUUAGAGGGCAAUAAUCGUACUAUAUAGGAGGGAGCUGUAUGUACCUGAUCAUUUUUGUUUGUUGGAUGGCGCUGGGUUUCCUCUAUUUGGGGUUUUGAGAAGAGAAGGGGCGGAUUUGAGUUUGGACUUGAGUUUGAUCGCUGCCUUUUGUCCGGUCUGGUUCUACUGUUGCCGGAACCCUAUCAAGAUACUGCCUUUUUGAACAGAUUUACCUGGUUUCCUGUUUAUAAUUUGCCAUUUAUACGAGGAAAACUGCAGCGAAAAAUGGAUUUUAAAGUGUUUUUCCGUCGUUUUCUUAUUUGUAGAUUGCAUUUAAAUGUAAAAAUGGUGUAAAAGAGAGAUCUUUUUUGCCGUUUAGGUGGGUUUCGCGUUGCUUUUUCUUUCUUCAGCUGGUGACUAAGCUCAUCAUGGAGCCCCAGUCUACGUUCUGAUGGUUCUUUUCGGUUGCUUUUGAUGCGAGCAUUGUAAAGGCGGUCACCCAUUUGGGAUUUUUCGGUCUUUUGUUUAACCGAUUUCAAAAUUCAGAUCUUUUCUAGAUUCCAAACGGAUUUUUAGCAUCGACUCUUCUCUUAAUUGGAGCUAGCUUUCAGAGUAACUUGCAUACAACUAUACAAGUUGAUCUGAUUUUAAGGUUGUGGACAUAUAAACACCAAACAGACGAGAUGGCACUGUUUUGGCUUCUUUGUUUACCAGAUGACCUCAUUUUAAGCUCUAAAUUUGAGUCUUUCCCAUUCACCGCACGGCUCAUCAAAAGAAAUUUACUGACUGCUUUUCCCGUAGCCAUCUCUCUGAAUUGAUCAUAUGUUAGUACCUUCAUAGAAGCUAGAGAAAGAUAUUUCUUUAACUGUCAUACGGUACUCGGCAUACCUUUCCUAUGGUCUUUGUUUUUCUUUUUCUUUUUCUUUUUUUUUUCCAAUAAUCAAUUGAUGCUAUUACUUUUGUCAUUCAGAGCGUGGUUCUGUUUAACUUCAUACCGAGCUUUCCCUUUGGCCAUGGGCACUGCCAUUUCUUCCAUGCAGUCCACUCUAUCCUCCCUUUUUUCUUCCUUUCUUCCUGUAUUGCACAAGUAUCAAUUGAUCAGCUUCGUUUUGCCUGCAAAGGAGAGGCCCUAAGUGAUAUGUUUCUGUGCCCACCUUGGAUAUUUGUUUUUCUGAUGAGUCUUUAGAUUCUUACCCACUUCUCAUGUGUCUUGCAUGAUGUACAUGAUGGUAAGUACUUGUUCAUUAUAAUUUGUUUGUAUCUAAUUUUCUUUUCAUGCAGAUGCUGGAUGGUUUGUUAUUUUCUUUGGAAGACACUAAAAAUUAAUAUCAUCAUGUUUUUUUUGCUAACAAAAAUCAUUGCACGAUGCCUGUUAUUUGUGGAAGGUAUAUUUCUGACAAACUUUUUAUGUGGGAUUAUUGCCCUUUUCAGUGGCUAUAUCUUCCUUAUAUCAACAUUAUUAACAAAGAGGUCCUUUUCAAUUCUUCUUAAUCAUCGAAACUAUUUUUAGAGAAAUGAAAAAUUGAUG